UACGGAGGGUGCAAGCGUUAUCCGGAUUCACUGGGUUUAAAGGGUGCGUAGGUGGGCAGGUAAGUCAGUGGUGAAAUCUUUGGGCUUAACCCGAAAACUGCCAUUGAUACUAUUUGUCUUGAAUAUUGUGGAGGUCAGCGGAAUAUGUCAUGUAGCGGUGAAAUGCUUAGAUAUGACAUAGAACACCAAUUGCGAAGGCAGCUGACUACGCGAGUAUUGACACUGAGGCACGAAAGCGUGGGGAUCAAACAGG
rnacentral:rRNA from 1 species